CUAUAUCAUAAGCUUGUUGGGGAGGUCUGGAUUUGAUCUCCUUGGAGGCCAGCUCAGUGGCUUGGUCCUUGUGUGCCUGGGUCAGUUCAUCAUCUCUGCUGUGACUCAGUGCCCUCAUCUCAUCUGGACUCAGAACCGAGGUAGGAGAUCAUUGGUUGCAUAUUUGUUGGGUAGAUCUACAUGUAUCUGCACCAGACAUUGCUGUCACACAUAGCUAGAGUCUGACAGGAACAUGCAGGUAGAGCCCGUGUGAUGAGGGCUCAGAUAGAGAUGUGUGUCAGGCACUGGAGAGGGGAUGGGAAGGCCCCAGUGUGCUAGGGGAGCAGGGAGGACAUCACAGAGGAGAUACCAUGGGAGGGGCAGUGCAGGACCUUGUGUAAUGGACGGGGGACAGAGGUAACAGGGCAUGCCAGGUCAGCGAAAGAAUGACUCUUGGGAAGAGAUGAGGCAAGUGUAUAAAGCCAGAGCAGUGGUGUUUGAGAGAAAAUGGGAGGCAAGGUUGUUAUCACAGGCAGGAGCUAGAUCAUGAAGGGCCUUGCAAGCCUAGCCAAGGGUGACUGUCCUCAAUUUCCUGGGAUAGUCCCAGUUUAUGCCUAUUAACUUGGUACAAUUAUGAGCAGUGUCCCCUUUUCACCCCUACAAAGGGUUAGGUUUGUUAAUAAGUGACGUGUUGAUACAUUUAUCUUGCUCAUAGGUAUUGGAACCCACUGUAGGAUUCUAAACAUCAUAGCGACAGGGUGAAAUUUUGAGUUGGGUAGAUGAUUCAGGAGGUGGUAGAGAGGUUGGAAGGCAGGAGUAGUGGUGAUAGCCUGCAGUGAGCAGUGGUCAUGGAGUCGGGGAAGAGAGCACUAAUGGCAAAAGCAUCCCCAAUGUACAGACCAUGGCAUUUGGUGAACCAAUGGCUUUCUAUCGAGGGGGCUAGGGGUAACUGAGUAGAGCAGGCUUAGUGGGGUGUGUUUAGACUUAUGGUUUAGGGGCCAUGGGGAAGCCAGAAAAGAAGUCAAGUAUGGAGCUGGAAAUGCUGGGUUGAGGUCCAGAAGAGAAGACUGAGCUGCAGAUAGCCAUUCGGGAGUCAUUAGGCUGUGGGUGAUCAUCGCCACCAUCAGCAUGGAUGUGACUGUCCAGGAAGAGAGUAUGUUGAAGAGGGGAAAAAUAAAAA
rnacentral:lncRNA from 1 species